rnacentral:rRNA from 1 species
GACGAACGCUGGCGGCGUGCCUAAUACAUGCAAGUCGAGCGAGCGGAACUAACAGAUUUACUUCGGUAAUGACGUUAGGACAGCGAGCGGCGGAUGGGUGAGUAACACGUGGGGAACCUGCCCCAUAGUCUGGGAUACCACUUGGAAACAGAUGCUAAUACCGGAUAACAACACUAGACGCAUGUCUAGAGUUUGAAAGAUGGUUCUGCUAUCACUCUUGGAUGGACCUGCGGUGCAUUAGCUAGUUAGUAAGGUAACGGCUUACCAAGGCAAUGAUGCAUAGCCGAGUUGAGAGGCUGAUCGGCCACAUUGGGACUGAGACACGGCCCAAACUCCUACGGGAGGCAGCAGUAGGGAAUCUUCCACAAUGGACGCAAGUCUGAUGGAGCAACGCCGCGUGAGUGAAGAAGGUCUUCGGAUCGUAAAAC